GCCCCUUUAGUUUAAUGGAUAGAAUUCAGGAUUCCGGUUCCUGCGAUACGCGUUCGAUUCGCGUAGGGGGUA
rnacentral:tRNA from 1 species